rnacentral:rRNA from 1 species
CCUACGGGAGGCAGCAGUAGGGAAUCUUCCACAAUGGGCGAAAGCCUGAUGGAGCAACGCCGCGUGGGUGAAGAAGGUCUUCGGAUCGUAAAACCCUGUUGUUAGAGAAGAAAGUGCGUGAGAGUAACUGUUCACGUUUCGACGGUAUAUAACCCGAAAGCCACGGCUAACUACGUGCCAGCAGCUGCGGUAAUACGUAGGUGGCAAGCGUUGUCCGGAUUUAUUGGGCGUAAAGGUAACGCAGGCGGUCUGUUAAGUUGGAUGUGAAAGCCUUCGGCUUAACCGGAGUAGUGCAUUGGAAACUGGGAGACUUGAGUGCAGAUGAGGAGAGUGGAAUGCCAUGUGUAGCGGUGAAAUGCUUAGAUAUAUGGAAGAACACCAGUUGCGAAGGCGGCUCUCUGAUCUGUAACUGACGCUGAGGUUCGAAAGCGUGGGUAGCAAACAGGAUUAGAUACCCGAGUAGUC